rnacentral:rRNA from 2 species
UCUUGACGACCAUAGAGCAUUGGAACCACCUGAUCCCAUCCCGAACUCAGCAGUGAAACGAUGCAUCGCCGAUGGUAGUGUGGGGUUUCCCCAUGUGAGAGUAGGUCAUCGUCAAGAU